AAAGGAGACAUUUAAUGGUAAGUAGUAUUUUUUCAUUUUAGAAGUAAUUAAAAAUAAGUAUUAUCAGGCUUAGGGAGGUAGGCAGGAUGUUUUUAUGGGGGGGGUGACUAGGGGCUUGGGGGACAAUAUGCUCCGCAUUUAAUAAUUAUUUAUUAUUAGCUUCCCCACCAUUGGGGCUUGAGGGGCCUGUGCCGGUCCCCCUUUAUAGGAUAAGCAACAGUUCAGCAAUAGCCGCCCACUUGCUAGCCUUUUCAUUACUGUAACAGUGAGCGACCGCAGGCUGCUUGCUCUUUAGUAGACAUACCCCUUCUUGCAGCAUAUCGGUUAGAGACAGGAGGGAAGAUAUUAAAUAAAUAUUAAUUAAUUCAUAACUAAUAAAUCUUACAAUGAGUGAGCCGCAAGCCGUUGGCUACCUCUGUGUAAUAAAUUAAAAAAGAAUGAACGAAAGCACUAAUUAUAAUAAAAGAAUGGUGUAAUAUAAAGUGCAGAAAUCCCAUGCAAUAUAGUGCUUUGCAGCUUGUUACCACCAUGAAAACAAUGACACAGGUUUUAACAACUAAAACAUAGACAUGCAAUAAAAAAAAGAUGAGCAGCGCACUAUGUUUUAUAUGUUAAUUUAAACCAUGGUGUAUUACUCUGCAAUAUACAGAACACUUGUCACUUCUCUGCUUGUGAUCCAAGACACACAACAAUGCUGAGCAUCUCCACAAAGCAGGAACUUGGAUAUGGCCAGACCUUGUUAAGAGUUUAAAUAAACACAGGAUGCAUUCUCAAGAGGAACAGUUUGCUCUACCUGAGAUGCACUUGUCCAGAAUUCUGAGAGCAUCUGCUUGGUAGGGUGAAAGCUAUUGUCAAUAGACCUUGGGAGAUCAUUCUGCAUAUCACACUCAAGUGUAUCUACCUGAGCCAGUGAUAUAAACAGGCUCUAGAAAAUGUGAAUGUGAUACUUAGUGUUUAUUUUAUCUCAAUAUUCACUCAGUAUACCAGCUGUUUUCCCUUAUGAGACUGUGUGUCUGAUUUUUCUAAUGAAUAUCCAGGAAACUGUAAAGGGUAUAUACUCCUUUUUAUUGUAUAACACUAUUUGUGGUACACUGUCACAAAAAAAAAUAUUUUUUAGUGCGCUGUUCACGUUUUUUUAGUGUGUGAAAGAACUAAAAACAUUUUGUCCAACAAGCAAUUCGUUCUUUAUUUCACUCGUAGUCAUUUGAAUUCCUCCAUUCGACAAAUGGCCAAACUGCUGAAAAUUCUGAUGAAAACAUGUUUGAAAAUGUACCCCCAAGUCUAGUAUAUAUUAUAAUACAAUUUGUUAAUAGGACACUGCACUGAUUGUAAAACUGAAUAAUGAAUCACCAUGCUAAUCCCAUAACAACAAUUAUUGAUUUUGGAAUAGGCAAUAAGAAUCAAUGUGAUUAAAGAAGCCAAAUUAACUAAUUUACUAAAUAAAAUUAGGGUUAAGAAGUGUACAUGGUCAGUAUAUGAUUUGUCAGUGAGUUCUGAUGGUACAUAGGUACUGUUGGAAUAAAGUGGCACAUGGGAGAACACGGAUUAUUAGCUCAUUACUUUCGUGUGGAUUUUAAACCUUUAAACUUAUUACAAAUUUCGGGUAAUAUAUUUUUAGAACCAGAUUUCAUGUGCACUGAAACCCGAGCUUUGUUGGUAUAAAAACAGAUCUACAGGAAGUGUCAGCAGGUAUUUUAGCAUCCAUUUUUACUGUUAAAGCUAAAACAUUUACAUUAAUUUCUAUUUAAAUAGAAUUCUCUGGUUAUACUUAUUUUUAAAAAAGAGUACUUAGUUGAAGGGACUUGACAAAUAUACACUCUGUUCAAAAUUAUUAUGUAAAUUCUAUUUAAGUGUCACAAAGAUUAAAUAUUUUGUUUUUCAGUUUAACUCAUGGAUGGCAUUGUGUCUCAGGGCUCUUUUGAUCACUGAAAACAAUCUCGGACACCUGUGAUAAUUAGAUUGCCAGGUGAUCCCAAUUUAAGGGAAAACUACUAAAGGAGGGUGUUCUACAUUAUUAAGCAGAGCACUGUCUUCAUGCAAUAUGGGAAAGACAAAGGAUCUCUCUGCUGCAGAAAAGAGUGAAAUAGUUCAAUGCCUUGAACGAGGUAUAAAAACAUUAGAUAUUUCAUGAAAACUUAAGCGUGAUCAUCGCACUAUUAAGAGAUUUGUGGCUGAUUCAGAGCAUAGGCGGGUUCGUGCAGAUAAAGGCACAUUGAGGAAGAUUUCUGCCAGAUCCAUGCAUCGGAUCAAGAGAACAGCUGCUAAAAUACCAUUACAUAGCAGCAAACAGAUAUUUGAAGCUGCUGGUGCCUCUGGAGUCCCACAGACAUCAAGGUGUAGUCCUCCAGAGUCUUGCAACUGUGCAUAAACCUUCUAUUCGGCCACCACUAACCAAUGCUCACAAGCAGAAAUGGCUGCAUUGGGCAGAAAAAUACAUGAAGACUAAUUUUCAAACCGUCCUGUUGACUGAUGAGUGCCGUGCAACCCUGGAUGGUCCAGAUGGAUGGAGUAGUGGAUGGUUGGUGGAUGGCCACCCUGUUCCAACAAGGCUGCAAAGUCAGCAAGGCGGUGGUGGAGUAAUGUUUUCGGCCUGAACCAUGAGAGCUGGUCGGCCCCUUUAGGGUCCCUGAAGGUGUAAAGAUGACCUCUGCAAAGUAUGGGGAGUUUCUGACUGACCACUUUCUUUCCUGGUACAGAAGGAAGAACUAUGCUUUCCGUAAUAAAAUAAUCUUCAUGCAUAACAAUGCAUUAUAUCAUGCUGCAAAGAAUACCUCUGCAUCAAUGGUUGCUAUGGGGAUAAAAGGAGAGAAAGUCUUGGUGUGGCCUCCAUCCUCCCCUGACCUCAGUCCUAUUGAGAACCUUUGGAGCAUCCUGAAGCAAAAAAGAUCUUUGAGGGUGGGAGGCAGUUUACAUCCAAACAGCAGCUCUGGGAGGCUAUUCUGACAUCUUGCAAACAAAUCCAAGCAGAAACUGUCCAAAAACUCACAAGUUCAAUGAAUGCAAGACUUGUGAAGCUGCUAUCAAAUAAGGGGUCCUAUGUUAAAAUGUAACGUGACCUGUUAAAAUGUUUAAAAAGUUAAAAUGUUGUUAUAAGUUUGAUUGAAAUAGCUUUUGAUUUCAGUAAAUAUGCUGCAAACACAACAAAUGACAAUUUUCAGUUCUUUACAACCUAUAAAGUGUUUUGAAACUUACUGUGCGUAAUAAUUUGGAACAGUGCAUUGUAAGUUUUUUAUGUUUAAAAAAAAUACUGUUAUCAUUAGGAGGUUUGUUCAAUAAAAUUUGAAUUGUACUCUUAAAGGACCACUAUAGUGCCAGGAAAACAAACUUGUUUUCCUGGCACUAUAUGGUCUUUAUUUCCCCCCCACCCUCAUGGCCCCCCUCCCGACAGGCUCUAGCAUGAGGAAGGGGUUAAACAAUUACCUUUCUCCAGCGCCGGGCUCCCUCGGCGCUGGGGAUUCUCCACCCUCUACGGCUGAAUGCGCAUGCGUGGCAAGAGCCAGUGUCUUCUCACUGUGAAAAUCAAGGGAGAAGUGUGGAAGCACCUCAAUGAGACAGCCACUAGAGGCUGAAUUAACCCAUAUGUAAACAUAGCAGUUUCUCUGGACCUUGCAGUUUCAUUGAGCUGAAGUGGUCUGGGUGCCUAUAGUGGUCCUUUAAUAGUUAAUAACAUGAGAACUAUGCUGACUGUUAUUUACAUGAAUUAUUUAGAAAAAUGAGAAAAAUAUAAUUUGCAUAAUAAUUUGGAACAGGGUGUACAAAGCAUGGAAUAGAAUAAUUAAAAAAUGUUUUAAAAAUAAUAUUAAUUAAAGUUCAUAAUUCUCAGUCCAUAAAACAACAUGAUUCUUCAAGAGCAGGAGCCAUUUAACUAAAUCAUCAAAUAUGUGUAAUUCCUUAAAAUAAAAUAAAACAGGAAACAUCUUCUUAAUGGAGCGCUAAUAUGUGAGAAAAGCUCCCAGAAAGGCAACUCCAGAAAAAAUGUAAGAAUUAAGGGUACAUGGUAAAUAUUUAGCAAUUUAGGUAAGCAUUAAUCUGUGAUUUUUUUUUCCAGUUGUGUAUCUUGUCUGAUUAGUUCCAAGUUAUAGAUUAAGCAAAUUAAUUCUGAUAUAUAGAUAAAUAUAGGCUAGUAUUAAUAACCCAAAAUCCUUCUUGCUUUACAUCUUGCCUAUGCUAAAGUUGGGGACAUCCUGUACUCUGAAUCUUUUAUAUUUAGGGAAUGUCUGGUAGAGCACAAUCUCUGUGUGCCCCUUAUUCCCGCACAAUCUCAGCGUGUCCCUCAUACCUGCACAAUCUCUGCGUGCCCCUCAUACCUGCACAAUCUCAGCAUGCCCCUUAUUCCUGCACAAUCUCAGCGUUCCCCUCAUUCCUGCACUUUCUCAGCAUGCCCCUUAUUCCUGCACAAUCUCAGCGUGCCCCUUAUUCCUGUACAAUCUCAGUGUGCCCCUCAUUCCUGCACAAUCUCUGCAUGCCCCUCAUACCUGCACAAUCUCAGCAUGCCCCUUAUUCCUGCACAAUCUCAGCGUGCCCCUUAUUCCUGCACAAUCUCAGUUUGACCCUCAUUCCUGCACAAUCUCAGUUUGCCCCUCAUUCCUGCACAAUCUCAGCGUGCCCCUUAUUCCUGCACAAUCUCAGCAUGCCCCUUAUUCCUACACAAUCUCAGCGUGCCCCUUAUUCCUGCACAAUCUCAGUUUGCCCCUCAUUCCUGCACAAUCUCAGCGUGCCCCUCAUUCCUGCACAAUCUCAGCGUGCCCCUUAUUCCUGCACAAUCUCAGCAUGCCCCUUAUUCCUGCACAAUCUCAGCAUGCCCCUUAUUCCUGCACAAUCUCAGCGUGCCCCUUAUUCCUGCACAAUCUCAGCAUGCCCCUCAUACCUGCACAAUUUCAGUGUGCCCCUUUAUUCCUGCACAAUCUCAGCGUGCCCCUCAUUCCUGCACAAUCUCAGUGUGCCCCUUUAUUCCUGCACAAUCUCAGCGUGCCCCUCAUACCUGCACAAUCUCAGUGUGCCCCUUUAUUCCUGCACAAUCUCAGCGUGCCCCUCAUUCCUGCAAAAUCUCAGUUUGCCCCUCAUUCCUGCAAAAUCUCAGUGUGCCCCUCAUUCCUGCACAAUCUCAGCGUGUCCAUUUAUUCCUGCACAAUCUCAGCGUGCCCCUCAUACCUGCACAAUCUCAGCCUGCCCCACAUACCUGCACAAUCUCAGUGUGCCCCUCAAUCUUGCACAAUCUCAAAGCGCCCCUCAUUCCUUCACUAUCUCAGUUUGCCCUUCAUUCCUGCACAAUCUCAGCAUGCCCCUCAUUCCUGCACAAUAUCAGUGUGCCCCUCAUACCUGCACAAUCUCAGUGUGCCCCUCAAUCCUGCACAAUCUCAGUGUGCCCCUCAAUCCUGCACAAUCUCAGUUUGCCCCUCAUACCUGAACAAUCUCAGCGUGCCUCUCAUUCCUGCACAAUCUCAGUUUGCCCCUCAUACCUGCACAAUCUCAGCGUGCCCCUCAGACCUGCACAAUCUCAGUAUGCCCCUCAUUCCUGCACAAUCUCAGUGUGCCCUUCAUACCUGCACAAUCUCAGUGUGCCCCUCAAUCCUGCACAAUCUCAGUGUGCCCUUCAUUCCUGCCCAAUCUCAGUGUGUCCUUCAUACCUGCACAAUCUCAGUGUGCCCCUCAAUCCUGCACAAUCUCAGUGUGCCCUUCAUUCCUGCACAAUCUCAGUGUGCCCCUCAAUCCUGCAUAAUCUCAGUGUGCCCCUCAAUCCUGCAAAAUCUCAGUACGCCCAUCAUCCCUGCACAAUCUCAAUGUGCCCCUCACUCCUGCAUAAAGUGCUGGAUUAUGAUGUAAAAUCCCCAUGUCUAAUCUAUGAUAUACAUUGAGUUCAGGAAGAAAAACUAUAUUUCUGAUACUCCUGGUAUUCGAGUACCUGGCUACAACUUCUCACACAGUUCCUAAUGCUGAGCCAAUGACUUGACAGGUGUAUUACUAAAUAUCACAUGGUGUCAUCAGAAAUGAAACUGGUAGUAACAAUAGUAGUAUUGACUUGAGUAUCAGUAUUGCCCUAAAACAAGCAUAAACCGUUUCAAUUUUUAAACUUGCAUGAAAAAAAUGACACAGACAAUAGCCGAAUAUUUCCAUUUACUUUGUGACACAGUGUUGUGUUCGUUGCGCCAAAAAACAAGAUGAUUGAUGAUUAGGGGGACCUUCACUAAAGAAAUAAAUAAAUACAAUACAUAAUAAAGAAUUAAAGGAGGAAUCAACUGGUCCGAAACGCAAACUUCACUGAAUGCUUGAAAUAUCAGAUAUUGACUGAAUGUGGACCGUAGAAACAUAGAAACAUAGAAUGUGACGGCAGGUAAGAACCAUUCGGCCCAUCUAGUCUGCCCAAUUUUUUAAAAUACUUUCAUUAGUCCCUGGCCUUAUCUUAUAAUUUGGAUAGCCUUAUGCCUAUCCCACGCAUGCUUAAACUCCUUUACUAUGUUAACCUCUACCACUUCAGAUGGAAGGCUAUUCCAUGCAUCCACUACCCUCUCAGUAAAGUAUAGUAAAGACCAUAUUUGACUGGUAAAAUACCAUUCUAUUCAGUUGGAAUUCAGUCAACCAAAAUCUUCGGGAAUUAUUUGAAUUUAAAAGGUCCACAUAGGCUUUCCCAAAUCGACGAAUUUAUAUGGCCAAACCAAAUUUCUCUGCUGUACACAGAUAUACUAACAAGUUUGCAUUAUUGCAAAGGUGAUAAUAGAGCUCCAUGCACUCACUCUCAACUCUCAGUUUAACUUAAAAGUGCAGUGAUUUAUAAAAAAAAAUGCUGCAGGUUUAAAGCAGCCUCCUAAACUGUCAGGCAGUUAAUUUUUUCCUAGUUGUGUAACCUUUUCCUUCCAGCUCUGCUGCCCGGUGCCAAGCAUCAGGGGGAGAAGCCUAAUGAAAGGGGCAGGUGCAACCAUGAGAGGACAGAGCUUAGUGUUGCACACCUUGCCGAUCUGCUUCUUCGUACCCACUCAGGAAUGGCUUUGGGCCAAAUAGUGAUGGCUAGAUGAGUGAGUGAGCAUCUCAAAAAAAUGACAAGUCUUGUUUGGGUCUUCUUGGUAUGUAGUGGUUAGUACCCACCAAAAGUGUUGCAAAGAAGGACAACUGGUGAACCAGUGUCGCUGUCAUGGGCAACCAAGGCAUAUAGAUGCACGUGGGACGAUAAGGCUAGCUCGUCUGGUCUGAUCACACUGUAGCUGAUAAACUUGGAAGCCUGACAUUCAUAUGGAUGUUACUUUGACAUGUACAACCUAUCUUAAGAUUAUUGCAGACCACCAUGAGAUGUGCUGGAACAACAAAUCUAAUCCAUGGAGACCCCAAGAAGCGACUUGAAGGACCUAAAGGAUCUGCUGCUAAUGUCUUAGUACUACCGGACGUGUUCAGAGGUCUUCUAUCGUCUAUGCCUUGACGCAUCAGAGCUGUAUGAGAGGAACAAACACAAUAUUAGGC